AACGAACGCUGGCGGCAUGCCUAACACAUGCAAGUCGAACGAGACCUUCGGGUCUAGUGGCGCACGGGUGAGUAACGCGUGGGAACCUGCCCUUAGGUUCGGAACAACUCCCCGAAAGGGGUGCUAAUACCGGAUAAUGUCUUCGGACCAAAGAUUUAUCGCCUUUGGAUGGGCCCGCGUUGGAUUAGCUAGUUGGUAGGGUAAAAGCCUACCAAGGCGACGAUCCAUAGCUGGUCUGAGAGGAUGAUCAGCCACACUGGGACUGAGACACGGCCCAGACUCCUACGGGAGGCAGCAGUGGGGAAUAUUGGACAAUGGGCGAAAGCCUGAUCCAGCAAUGCCGCGUGAGUGAUGAAGGCCUUAGGGUUGUAAAGCUCUUUUACCCGGGAUGAUAAUGACAGUACCGGGAGAAUAAGCUCCGGCUAACUCCGUG
rnacentral:rRNA from 1 species